UCGACGUUUGAAGUGAAUGGAAUAUCUCAAAGACACGUGCAAAAGGCUCAGGACUAAAACCAGCCACACGUCGAGAGAGUAAACCAGAGGAUCGGCAGAUCUAACGGAGGAAUAUAUCAACACGACGAGGACGGAAGUCAAACAGGUUCUGCUUCGGAUCUCGACGCUGUGUUUCCGUGUCCCAGCUCGGGAUUAAUGCUAAUCGUGAUAGGGGUUUUGUGCUUUUGAACACCUAUGCUGUUAGCAUUAGUCCUGCGCUGGCGACCAAACCUCCAAACCCAGCAGUCUGAGGAUCAUAAAGCACGGCACUGCGUUGUGUUCAUGCAGUUUGUGAGUUGGACAUUCACACUUCAGCAGAAGCGACUCCAUUAGGAAAUAAUCACAAAUAGCUUAAAAGUUAAAGUCACCUGUUCGCUGUAUAGUCAAAUCGUUCUUGCAGUUUCUGUAUGAAUUGAAAGCAAAUAAAAAGAAACUUGCAAACA